rnacentral:rRNA from 1 species
CACAUGCAAGUCGAGGGGCAGCACGGGAGUAGCAAUACAACUGGUGGCGACCGGCGCACGGGUGAGUAACGCGUAUGCAACCUACCUAUCAGAGGGGAAUAACCCGGCGAAAGUCGGACUAAUACCGCAUAAAACAGGGGCACCGCAUGGUGAUAUUUGUUAAAGAAAUUCGCUGAUAGAUGGGCAUGCGUUCCAUUAGGUAGUUGGUGAGGUAACGGCUCACCAAGCCGACGAUGGAUAGGGGAACUGAGAGGUUGGUCCCCCACACUGGUACUGAGACACGGACCAGACUCCUACGGGAGGCAGCAGUGAGGAAUAUUGGUCAAUGGGCGGGAGCCUGAACCAGCCAAGUCGCGUGAAGGAAGAAGGAUCUAUGGUUCGUAAACUUCUUUUGCAGGGGAAUAAAGUGCAGGACGUGUCCUGUUUUGUAUGUACCCUGAGAAUAAGGAUCGGCUAACUCCGUGCCAGCAGCCGCGGUAAUACGGAGGAUCCGAGCGUUAUCCGGAUUUAUUGGGUUUAAAGGGUGCGUAGGUGGUUUGAUAAGUCAGCGGUGAAAGUUUGCAGCUUAACUGUAAAAAUGCCGUUGAAACUGUCGGACUUGAGUGUAAAUGAGGUAGGCGGAAUGCGUGGUGUAGCGGUGAAAUGCAUAGAUAUCACGCAGAACUCCGAUUGCGAAGGCAGCUUACUAAGCUACAACUGACACUGAAGCACGAAAGCGUGGGGAUCAAACAGGAUUAGAUACCCUGGUAGUCCACGCAGUAAACGAUGAUUACUAGCUGUUUGCGAUACACAGUAAGCGGCACAGCGAAAGCGUUAAGUAAUCCACCU